CAGUUGGUAGCUCAGUGUGUGGAUGCUUUGUGUGUAUGACGUCCUGGGUUCAAAUCCCAGCUGGUCGC